GAGACUAGCACAAGAGAUGAACAUGACUGAGAAUUAUUUUAUGAUUUCUACAGUUGCAUGAGAAUUGUUACUCACUGGAGUCUGGAUAGCAAUAACAUGGAGGCCCAUAUGAGGAGGAAAAAUGCAAACACGGACGUCCACACUCCUGGCGCCACAUCUUCAUAGAGAACCUAGAGCAGUGGACAUCAGCUGGGAAGAGCCAGCAGACAUUACUGAAGACCAAAUUCUAUGUUCUGGAGACAGCUUGCUGCCCAAUCCCCCAAACUGAGCAGGAGGACCUUAGUCUAAAUAAGUAAGGUACAUUUAGUUGUAAUGUGACUAUUAGAUGCUCAUAGAUACUUACUGACAGUUCACUACUACAUUGACAGAUAUUACUUAAUUUUAAAAGACUCUUAUAUAUCUGAGUAGAUUUUGAUAUACUGACAAAUAAUAUCUAGAUCUAGUUAUGUUGCAGAUCUAGUCUCUAGUCCAUAAUUAUAAUAUAUGUAGUCCCACUUAGUCUUAGACUUUCAUAAUAGAGAGAUCUAGAUUUAAUUGUAGAAUCCAGAUUUAUCUAGAGACUAGACUCUAAAACAAGGCCUAUGGUUCACAGAUAUAUAUUUUUUCUCCCAAAAGAGAGAGAAAGUGAGAGUCUAUAUUAGAGUUAUCUGUGAACUAGAAUUAGAUUUAGAUAUAUAUUAGACAUAUUUCUAAAUAUUUUUUGUCAUGGAAACAUCAAUAAAUAUACUAUAUUAUGUAUAUCGAUUAGAUCCAAAUAUAUAUUCAGAUAUUGUAGAAUAAUUUGUGUUCAUACAAAUAACAAGUGUUUAAGAGGGAAGACAAAUUAUAUUAGAAACUCCAUUUAUUACGUAAACACAAGUCGGUGCUACACUGAUCUCUGUUCUUUAAUUCAGAAAAUCUAUUUAUAAGAAUAACUAACAAACUAUUCAAAGAUUAAAGUCAAUUCAGUGAAUCACAAAUCAAGUCUCUUGGGUUUGUUAACUACUUUGCCUGUUCAUGUGGUCUAGAAGUGUUAGAAGAAAUCAUGUGUAAUGGUGGUUCUACAUAUCUAUUGUAGUUUGUAAUCUUGGACUCUCUAGAUCUUGUGGUUGUGGUUGCUCUGAAAUGUCAUCUGGAAAGUCAUAAUUAUUGUCAAAUCUAUUUGCUUUCUUAUAUAUAAGACAUUCUGAUGUGUUUCCUAUUUCUUCUGUAGAGAUCUGAUU
rnacentral:sRNA from 1 species